UAGAGUUUGAUCCUGGCUCAGAUUGAACGCUGGCGGCAUGCUUUACACAUGCAAGUCGAACGGCAGCGCGGGCUUCGGCCUGGCGGCGAGUGGCGAACGGGUGAGUAAUAUAUCGGAACGUACCCAAGAGUGGGGGAUAACGUAGCGAAAGUUACGCUAAUACCGCAUACGAUCUAAGGAUGAAAGCAGGGGACCGCAAGGCCUUGUGCUCCUGGAGCGGCCGAUAUCUGAUUAGCUAGUUGGUGAGGUAAAGGCUCACCAAGGCAACGAUCAGUAGCUGGUCUGAGAGGACGACCAGCCACACUGGAACUGAGACACGGUCCAGACUCCUACGGGAGGCAGCAGUGGGGAAUUUUGGACAAUGGGGGCAACCCUGAUCCAGCAAUGCCGCGUGAGUGAAGAAGGCCUUCGGGUUGUAAAGCUCUUUUGUCAGGGAAGAAAAGGGAGUGGCUAAUAUCCAUUCCUGCUGACGGUACCUGAAGAAUAAGCACCGGCUAACUACGUGCCAGCAGCCGCGGUAAUACGUAGGGUGCAAGCGUUAAUCGGAAUUACUGGGCGUAAAGCGUGCGCAGGCGGUUUCGUAAGUCUGUCGUGAAAUCCCCGGGCUUAACCUGGGAAUGGCGAUGGAGACUGCGAGGCUAGAGUUUGGCAGAGGGGGGUAGAAUUCCACGUGUAGCAGUGAAAUGCGUAGAGAUGUGGAGGAACACCGAUGGCGAAGGCAGCCCCCUGGGUCAAAACUGAC
rnacentral:rRNA from 1 species